GAUGAACGCUGGCGGCGUGCUUAACACAUGCAAGUCGAGCGGGCAAUUUAUCUAGCACUGAUUACUUCAAAUGGAAAUCAUAAGUGUAAUCAUGAAUUUCUACCUUUAAUAAAGAAAAAGAAAUUCAUGUACGCAAAUAGUGAUAACACAUUUUAGUGGAGUGAUGAGUGCUGGAUAAAUUGCUAGCGGCGGACGGGUGCGUAACACGUGGGUAACCUGCCCCUAUCACUGGGAUAACACACUGAAAAGUGUGCUAAUACCAGAUAAUAUAAGCUUUUGGCAUCAUUAGCUUAUCAAAGAAUUUCGGAUAGGGAUGGGCCCGCGUCUGAUUAGCUAGUUGGUGAGGUAACGGCUCACCAAGGCAACGAUCAGUAGCCGACCUGAGAGGGUGAUCGGCCACACUGGAACUGAGACACGGUCCAGACUCCUA
rnacentral:rRNA from 1 species